UUGUUCGGAAUUACUGGGCGUAAAGGGCUCGUAGGUGGCCGACUAAGUCAGACGUGAAAUCCCCAGGCUCAACUUGGGAACUGCGUCUGAUACUGGAUGGCUUGAAUUCGGGAGAGGGAUGCAGAAUUCCAGGUGUAGCGGUGAAAUGCGUAGAUAUCUGGAGGAAUACCGGUGGCGAAGGCGGCAUCCUGGACCGAUAUUGACACUGAUGAGCGAAAGCCAGGGGAGCAAACGGG
rnacentral:rRNA from 1 species